rnacentral:rRNA from 1 species
GCGCAGCCGGAUGAGCCGAUGUCGGAUUAGCUAGUUGGCGGGGUAAGAGCCCACCAAGGCGACGAUCCGUAGCUGGUCUGAGAGGAUGAUCAGCCACACUGGGACUGAGACACGGCCCAG